UCCCUGGCAGUCUAGUGGUUAGGACUCUGCACUCCUAAUGCAGGGGGCAUGGGUUUGACCCCAGGUUCAAUCCCUGGUUGGGGAA